GAUGAACGCUGGCGGCGUGCCUAAUACAUGCAAGUCGAGCGAACAGACGAGGAGCUUGCUCCUCUGACGUUAGCGGCGGACGGGUGAGUAACACGUGGAUAACCUACCUAUAAGACUGGGAUAACUUCGGGAAACCGGAGCUAAUACCGGAUAAUAUAUUGAACCGCAUGGUUCAAUAGUGAAAGACGGUUUUGCUGUCACUUAUAGAUGGAUCCGCGCCGCAUUAGCUAGUUGGUAAGGUAACGGCUUACCAAGGCAACGAUGCGUAGCCGACCUGAGAGGGUCAUCGGCCACACUGGAACUGAGACACGGUCCAGACUCCUGCGGGAGGCAGCAGUAGGGAAUCUUCCGCAAUGGGCGAAAGCUUGACGGAGCAACGCCGCGUGAGUGAUGAAGAUCUCCGGAUCGUAAAACUCUGUUAUUAGGGAAGAACAAAUGUGUAAGUAACUAUGCACGUCUUGACGGUACCUAAACAGAAAGCCACGGCUAACUACGUG
rnacentral:rRNA from 1 species